AAUGACAUUUUGCUGACAGCUGCUGUUCAGAAGAACAUGGAUAUCAGAGGUUAGAAGAUGAUCAGAUACUGUCGUAGUUCUGACCAUAAACGAUGCAGACUGGCUAUCCGGUGGUGUUAUUCCCAUGAUCUGCCGGGCAGCUCCUGGGAAACCCAAGUCUUUGGGUUCUGGGGGGAGUAUGAUUGCAAAGCUGAAACUUAAAGGAAUUGACAGAAGAGCAUCGCCAGGAGUGGAGCCUGUGGCUUAAUUUGACUCAACACAGGAAACCUCACCCAGCCUGGAGAUGGACAGGAUUGACAGAUGGAGAGCUCUUUCUUGAUUAUGUGGGUGGUGGUACAUGGCCAUUCUUAGUUGGUGUAGCGAUUUGUCUGGUUAAUUCUGGUAUCACAGCUUAAAGAGUCACUCCCAAACCAAGCAGGUCCUGCUUCUAGCAGAUUCAUUUGUGCCUUGAACAGAAUAAGAUGGGUCAAGAAUGGGGCUACAGAGAGUGGCAAACCAGCUGGAGGAGAUGUUCAAGUGGAAGGGUUUUACAGAUGCUAACACUGCUAUCAAUACAGAUGGAUUUCUACAGGGCCAACCAAGCAAGCAUUCUAUCCUUUUGGUUUCCUGCAUUAUGAAUACGCUGAAUGUGUGCUCAUGGCAGAUCAACAGCACAAAAACACUGACUUACUGAAAAAAUCAAGUGGGAAGGGAUCUCCAGAAGUCUCUAGUCCAAUUCUCUGCUUACAGCAGGGUAACUCUAGAGCUAGGCCAGUUUCCUCAGGGCUUUGCUUACACAACUUCUGAACAUCGCCAAAGACAGAAGAGGUCUUCAAGACCUGCCUGGACAUGGUCCUAGGUGACCUUAUCUAGGUUGACCUGCUUCUGCAGAGGGAUUGGGCUAGAUGAUCUCUGAAGGUUCCUUCCAAUGCUACCUUUCUAUGAUUCCUCAGUCUUUUUAGGCACCUGUUCCACUGAUGGACUGCUCUCAAGGGGUCAUGUUUUAACUAUGUUUCCUGCAUCUUCCAUCCCAUUUACUCACCUAUUCUUUGAGUCCUGGGGAAAGGAAGAAUUAAAAUGCUUCUCCCCAACACAGAAGCAGGACUUUGUGGAAGAGGAAUGUGCUCAGCUCAGCCAUGCCAAGCUGAGGUGCAGCCUAAAUCUCUAUGGGAAAUCACUAAGGGAUGGAUUUUUAGACCUUCCAAUUUUGAUAGAAAUGAUGCUGAGACUACUAAAUGCUGUUUCCAAGC
rnacentral:ncRNA from 1 species